GUUUGUGAGGUGUUAUCACGGUAACUUUUCGUGUUGCAGUUGGAGCGUAUGCUCCCACAAAUG
rnacentral:tRNA from 1 species